rnacentral:rRNA from 1 species
CGGCAGACGGGUGAGUAACGCGUAUGUAACCUACCCUGUACAGGGGGAUAACCCGGAGAAAUUCGGACUAAUAUCCCAUAAUGAUAUUUGGGGGCAUCCCCGGAUAUUUAAAGUUCCGGCGGUACAGGAUGGGCAUGCGUAACAUUAGCUAGUUGGUAAGGUAACGGCUUACCAAGGCUUUGAUGUUUAGGGGUCCUGAGAGGGUGGUCCCCCACACUGGUACUGAGACACGGACCAGACUCCUACGGGAGGCAGCAGUGAGGAAUAUUGGUCAAUGGGCGCAAGCCUGAACCAGCCAUCCCGCGUGCAGGAAGACGGCCCUAUGGGUUGUAAACUGCUUUUCCAGGGAGAGAAACUUGCGCACGUGUUGCGCAAUUGACGGUACCCUGGGAAUAAGCAUCGGCUAACUCCGUGCCAGCAGCCGCGGUAAUACGGAGGAUGCGAGCGUUAUCCGGAUUCAUUGGGUUUAAAGGGUGCGUAGGCGGACUAUUAAGUCAGUGGUGAAAUCCUGCAGCUUAACUGCAGAACUGCCAUUGAUACUGAUAGCCUUGAGUUCGGUUAAGGUAGGCGGAAUGUGUAAUGUAGCGGUGAAAUGCUUAGAUAUUACACAGAACACCAAUUGCGUAGGCAGCUUACUGAGCCGACACUGACGCUGAGGCACGAAAGCGUGGGGAUCGAACAGGAUUAGAUACCCUGGUAGUCCACGCCGUAAACGAUGAUUACUCGCUGUUGGCGAUACACUGUCAGCGGCUAAGCAAAAGCAAUAAGUAAUCCACCUGGGGAGUACGGCCGCAAGGUUGAAACUCAAAGGAAUUGACGGGGGCCCGCACAAGCGGAGGAACAUGUGGUUUAAUUCGAUGAUACGCGAGGAACCUUACCUGGGCUUAAA